UACGAAGGGGGCUAGCGUUGCUCGGAAUUACUGGGCGUAAAGCGCACGUAGGCGGUCUUUUAAGUCGGGGGUGAAAUCCUGGAGCUCAACUCCAGAACUGCCUUCGAUACUGGCGAUCUCGAGUCCGGAAGAGGUGAGUGGAACUCCUAGUGUAGAGGUGGAAUUCGUAGAUAUUAGGAAGAACACCAGUGGCGAAGGCGACUCACUGGUCCGGUACUGACGCUGAGGUGCGAAAGCGUGGGGAGCAAACAGG
rnacentral:rRNA from 1 species